rnacentral:rRNA from 1 species
AUUGAACGCUGGCGGCAGGCCUAACACAUGCAAGUCGAGCGGAUGAAGGGAGCUUGCUCCUGGAUUCAGCGGCGGACGGGUGAGUAAUGCCUAGGAAUCUGCCUGGUAGUGGGGGAUAACGUCCGGAAACGGGCGCUAAUACCGCAUACGUCCUGAGGGAGAAAGUGGGGGAUCUUCGGACCUCACGCUAUCAGAUGAGCCUAGGUCGGAUUAGCUAGUUGGUGGGGUAAAGGCCUACCAAGGCGACGAUCCGUAACUGGUCUGAGAGGAUGAUCAGUCACACUGGAACUGAGACACGGUCCAGACUCCUACGGGAGGCAGCAGUGGGGAAUAUUGGACAAUGGGCGAAAGCCUGAUCCAGCCAUGCCGCGUGUGUGAAGAAGGUCUGCGGAUUGUAAAGCACUUUAAGUUGGGAGGAAGGGCAGUAAGUUAAUACCUUGCUGUUCUGACGUUACCAACAGAAUAAGCACCGGCUAACUUCGU